rnacentral:rRNA from 1 species
AUACGGAGGGUGCAAGCGUUAUUCGGAAUCACUGGGCGUAAAGGACGCGUAGGCGGGUUGGCAAGUCAGAUGUGAAAUCCUACAGCUUAACUGUAGAACUGCAUUUGAAACUGCUAACCUAGAGUAAGGGAGGGGGAGAUGGAGUUAGUGGUGUAGGGGUAAAAUCCGUAGAUAUCACUAGGAAUACCGAAAGCGAAGGCGAUCUCCUGGAACAUAACUGACGCUAAGGCGUGAAAGCGUGGGGAGCAAACAGGAUUAGAUACCCUAGUAGUCC